AUACGGAGGGUGCAAGCGUUGUUCGGAAUCACUGGGCGUAAAGGGCGCGCAGGCGGUUUGUUAAGUCAGAUGUGAAAGCCCACGGCUCAACCGUGGAAGUGCAUUUGAAACUGGCAGACUUGAGUACAAGAGGGGGAAGUGGAAUUCCCGGUGUAGAGGUGAAAUUCGUAGAUAUCGGGAGGAAUACCGGUGGCGAAGGCGACUUCCUGGCUGGAUACUGACGCUGAGGCGCGAAAGCGUGGGGAGCAAACAGGAUUAGAAACCCUAGUAGUCC
rnacentral:rRNA from 1 species